rnacentral:rRNA from 1 species
UCCUGAGUAAAGUGGCGCACGGGUGAGUAACGCGUAGAUAACCUGUCUUCAUGUCUGGAAUAAUACGCCGAAAGGGGUACUAAUACCGGAUAUUCUUGCUUUUUCAUAAGGUAUGCAAGCAAAGGUGGCCUCUGCAUAUGCUACUGCAUGAAGAGGGGUCUGCGUACCAUUAGCUAGUAGGUGGGGUAAUGGGCCUACCUAGGCGACGAUGGUUAGCGGGUCUGAGAGGAUGAUCCGCCACACUGGCACUGGAACACGGGCCAGACUCCUACGGGAGGCAGCAGUGAGGAAUAUUGCGCAAUGGGGGAAACCCGUGACGCAGCGACGCCGCGUGAGUGAGGAAGGCCUUCGGGUCGUAAAGCUCUGUCAAGAGGUAAAGAAGUGUACUAAUGGCUAAUACCUGUUGUAUUUGACGGUACCUCUAAAGGAAGCACCGGCUAACUCCGUGCCAGCAGCCGC